rnacentral:rRNA from 1 species
UAGUCCACGCCGUAAACGAUGUUCACUCGCUGUUGGCGAUAUACAGUCAGCGGCCAAGCGAAAGCAUUAAGUGAACCACCUGGGGAGUACGCCCGCAAGGGUGAAACUCAAAGGGAAUUGACGGGGGCCCGCACAAGCGGAGGAGCAUGUGGUUUAAUUCGAUGAUACGCGAGGAACCUUACCUGAACUUAAAUGGUAGGACGACGGUUGCAGGAAAUGUGACUUUCUUUAAGACGUCCAUCAAGGUGCUGCAUGGUUGUCGUCAGCUCGUGCCGUGAGGUGUUGGGUUAAGUCCCGCAACGAGCGCAACCCCUAUCGUUAGUUGCCAGCGGGUCAUGCCGGGGACUCUGAGGAGACUGCCACCGUAAGGUGUGAGGAAGGUGGGGAUGACGUCAAAUCAGCACGGCCCUUAUGUUCAGGGCUACACACGUGUUACAAUGGACGGUACAAAGGGCAAGGCUACCUGGCGACAGGAUGGCUAAUCUCUAAAGCCGUUCUCAGUUCGGA